CCUACGGGGGGCAGCAGUAGGGAAUAUUGCUCAAUGGGGGCAACCCUGAAGCAGCAACGCCGCGUGGAGGAUGACGGUUUUCGGAGUGUAAACUCCUUUUGGUAGAGAAGAUAAGGGCGGUAUCUAAGGAAUAACCACGAGCUAACUGAGUGCAAGCAGCCGCGGAAAUAGGGGGGGUUGAAGCGGUAACCGGAUUUAUUUGGGUUAAAGGGGGAGUAGGCGGGUGGAUAGGGUAGAUGGGAAAUCCGGAGGAUCAACGUCGGAAUUGCCACUGAUACUGUCGUGCUAGAGAGUAGUUGAGGUAGGCGGAAUGUAUGGUGUAGCGGUGAAAUGCUUAGAGAUCAUACAGAACCCCGAUUGCGAAGGCAGCAUACCAAGCUACUUCUGACGUUGAGGCACGAAAGCGUGGGGAGCGAACAGGAUUAGAUACCCUUGUAGUC
rnacentral:rRNA from 1 species